rnacentral:rRNA from 1 species
AUUGAACGCUGGCGGCAGGCCUAACACAUGCAAGUCGAGCGGAUGAGAGGAGCUUGCUUCUCGAUUCAGCGGCGGACGGGUGAGUAAUGCCUAGGAAUCUGCCUGGUAGUGGGGGACGACGUUUCGAAAGGAACGCUAAUACCGCAUACGUCCUACGGGAGAAAGCAGGGGACCGUCGGGCCGUGCGCUAUCAGAUGAGCCUAGGUCGGAUUAGCUAGUUGGUGGGGUAAUGGCUCACCAAGGCGACGAUUCGUAACUGGUCUGAGAGGAUGAUCAGUCACACUGGAACUGAGACACGGUCCAGACUCCUACGGGAGGCAGCAGUGGGGAAUAUUGGACAAUGGGCGAAAGCCUGAUCCAGCCAUGCCGCGUGUGUGAAGAAGGUCUUCGGAUUGUAAAGCACUUUAAGUUGGGAGGAAGGGUUGUAGAUUAAUACUCUGCAAUUUUGACGUUACCGACAGAAUAAGCACCGGCUAACUCUGUGCCAGCCGCCGCGGUAA